GCCGGGCGCGGUGGCGAGCGCCUGUAGUCCCAGCUACUCGGAGGCUGAGGCGGGAGAAUGGCGUGAACCCGGGAGGUGGAGCUUGCAGUGAGCUGAGAUUGCGCCACUGCACUCCAGCCUGGGUGACAGAGCGAGACUCCGUCUCAA
rnacentral:SRP_RNA from 1 species